UUGAUGCGUGUACGAAGAGCGAGAGUUAUAGGAAUGGUGUUGAUGCAGUCAUAAAGAGUAGGCGAUGAUCGUUAGUGUGGAGCUUAACUUCUAUCGUUUUCUUAAAAGGGACUUGUGAGAGCUCUCUAUCAAAAAUUUGAUAUCGGAUGCAAAUAUCUUAUUCCAUGUUGUUGCUAAUAAGCUGACACUGAAAGUGAGUGUGGUGGCUUCUUUGGUCAAUUUCCUCUUCGGAUUCUUGCUACUCUCGAUUACAUUGUGGCUCGUCUUCAUGGCGCAUUCCUUGUCCAUGUGGAAAAUGUAGGAAUCGUUAUUGGGAUAUAUCAUUUAAUGUGGAAAAGCACUUGUAUCAGCAUGGAUUUAUGGAUGGGUACACAAAUUGGACCCUUCAUGGUGAAGAAAGGUGGACAGAUGGUGCGUCUGUUGUCCAAGACUGUGAUGGACAUAAAUGCCAAGACAAAAGAUACUGCAAAUGCAAGACAAGAUUUGAGGUUGAUAUGUAAACGUCCCAAGUUAGAGUUGGUGUUGGAGAAUGAGAAGUAUAAAAAACCCAAGGCAACAUAUGCCUUGAAUUCUGACCAGAGAAAGAUGGUGUGUGAAUGGAUAAAACAACUAAAGUUUCCAGAUGGCUAUGCGUCUAACAUUUCACGUUGCAUUAAUGUAGAUGAGGGAAAAAUAUAUGGGAUGAAAAUUCAUGAUUGUCAUGUUUUUAUGCAAAGACUUAUUCCUUUAGCAUUUCGUGAUAUGUUGCCAAAGCCUAUAUGGGGUGUUUUAACAUAGGCCAGCUUGUUUUUUAAAGAGAUUUGUGCAAAUGCAGUGCAUGCUUCUGUCAUGGAGCACGCUAAGAUUUCUAUCAUCGAAACAAUUUGUAAGCUUGAAAAGAUUUUCCCACCAGCACUCUUUGAUUCAAUGGAACAUUUGGUUAUACAUCUCCCACAUGAAGUUAAGGUCGGAGGACCUGUGCAAUAUAGAUGGAUGUAUCCAUUUGAGAGAUGCAUGUUAUAUUUGAAAAGAAAGGUUCGAAAUAAAGCAAAGGUUGAAGGGUCCAUAGCA